rnacentral:sRNA from 1 species
GAGACAGAGUCAACCUAUGUUGCCCAGGCUGGUCUUGAACUCCUGGCCUCAAACAGUCCUCCCACCUUGGCCUCCCAAAGUACUAGGAUUAUAGGUGUGAGUUACUGUGCCUGGCCAACCAGUUUGAUUUAAAUUAAACCCAUUCUAGAUGAUGUGUGACAGCUCAAUUUUAAUACUAAUCUAAAUAGGACCUAUAAUUGUAUGUAAUGGAAACUUGAUUAAUUUCAGAGGAAACAAUCAGUUUAAAGAUGAUGGAGCAAUUUAGAGAUGUGAUGUAUCUCAUAUCCCACUGCUUUAACCCCCUAAUAUUAACAUUUCCUUUUGUCUUUUAUUUUUUUUUAGUUGAGAAAACGUGUGAAGCUUGAAGGGAAAGAACUUGAAGAAUACUUGGAAAAAGAGAAACUAAAGAAAGAAGCUGCCAAAAAGCUUGAGCAGUCAAAAGAGGCAGAUAUAGAUUCCAGUGAUGAGAGUGAC